CACUGGGGCGGCCUGGUCUGUGACAGCGUGCCUGGGCACAGGCCAGCAGCCACGUCCGUCCUGCGGGUCCCCGCUUAGGUCUGCAGAACUAGGGAGAUUCGUCUGGUUCUGCUGCCGUGGUGACUGGCAGGUGGGAUGCCUCUCGUGAGCACCUUCCCCCCACCAGGAAAGGGGAUGACUAAAAGCAUCCGGAGAAAGAACUUUUAAGGAAUGAAGGCCUGCCUUGGUAAAUUCUAGAGUCCCAGGGCCCCUUGGGACAUAGGCCUCCGGCGUGUGUUUUUCUAGACCUUGAAAGAGUUAAUGGGAGAAAUGUUCAUGGUUUGUCUGUUUGCUCAGGCCCCACACUUAUCUGACCAAUCGCUGGGAGGGUAUAACUUUAGAAGUUUCGUUCUCUAUCCCACUUGGCUCAGAGUUCCAGAAAACCCUUGUUUAAGUAAUCACGAUAAUCCGUUCAGAUUCCUUAAGGCCUGAAGCCAUUUGGUGUUCCCACUUGGGUCCUGUAAGAAAAGACGAGGAGAGAAAAAGGCAGCGUAUAAUAGAGAGCGUUGUAACAAAGCCCCUCUGAAAAACUUUCCUCCCUGACGUGGCUGUGUUGUCCAGGUAAACUUCCUAAGGGCGUCUCCGAGCGUCUGAGAAAUGGUCCUGUCGGGCCUGGAUGUUGGCAAGGAAGGGAAAGAUCACAGGGGGGCCGGGUGCAGGGGCCAUAUUUUCCCUUUUGGUGAAAACGUGAAGGGGAUACUUGACCUCCUUGGGGAGCCGGGGGAAACAUACCUCAUCGCGGGGAGCCAGUCAGGGUGGCAGGCCUUUGAGGGACUACCGAUAGGACACCUGGCUGUUGGUAUCGGAAAGAAGGUGUGUGGGGGCACCUGGCUGGCUCAGUCGGUAGGGAAUGGGACUCUCCAUCUCGGGGUCGUGAGUUCGAGCCCCCUGUCGGGCUCAGAGGUUGCUAAAAAGAAAAAAAGAAGAAGAAGAAAGGUGCUGUGUGGUUUCUUGCAGCCCUUCAGCCGACUUGUUCUAUUGCUGUCUCUAAUGUGAUGUCUUAAAGGGGUCCCUCAGCCCUGGACCUGCCCUCUGAAGCCCAAGUCAGCCUGUCAUGGAAAAGCGCCCUGCCACCCCCUCCCUCUUUAGCCACACUGUCCCUGAUCUGGGCCCGAGGGCCUCAGACAUCCAGGCCCUUUAUUCUUCCCCCUAAAGAAAUUCUUCGCUGAGCUAUCACAGUAGGCUGGCCAGACCUGUCCCCAUUUCUGGUGACAUUCUCCAGGGUUUUGCUUAGUCGUUUAUACACCAUUCCCAGAGAAGCUGCAGGCGGAAGUGAAAGAAUGCUUGGUUGACUUUUUGUAAGUCCUUUCUAGUCGGUUCUGCGGCUGAUCUAGCCCUACACGCUUAGGCAGGCCUCUUUCCCUCUCCGCGCCCAGGUGUGGGGAGAGAUGAUUUCAAAGGGCCUUUUCAGUUCAGUCUUUCUGACAAUUUCUUUGACAAGGCUGGAAGUAGCUAGGGUUCUAAUCCUCAGGUCUGGAUACAAGGAAAAGGCAGUUUUUUGUUUGAUUGGGAGGUUUUGGUGUUUCUGGCUUCUUUGCCUGUCCAACGUCUGGUCCCCCUUCUAGAUCCAGAACCCACACUGUGUUUGGAGAAACCAUUCCUCAUCCCACUCUGGCCACACUGAUUGGUUCAGAGGUUGGCCUGUGAGCCGAGUGUGUCCCAGAGAGACCAUUGCAGAACUUGCUGUUUCUCGCGGAGAAGAGAAUCACGCUUUGUCAGAACCUUCAUUGUCUGAGCCCCUGGAUCCCACUGAACCUGAAGCCAGACCUGCCCCAGGCUAUUUCAGUUAUGUGUGCCAAUAAAUCCCUUUCCUUUGCUGAAAUCACCUUGACCUGGGUUUUCUGUCGUUUGAUUUCCCUGCCUCCCUUGGGAACGGAGAGGUCACUACCCCCAGGCAGGUUCCCAGAAGUUAGAUCCAGGUGGUACAGAGCCAGAGUGGGAACCCCGAUCUCUCCUGCCACACUGCUUGGCCCAACGAGCUUCGUCAUCAUUUUAGUUUCCUUUCUGUGGCCUCUUUGCACGUUUCCAAGGACCCAUCCGGCAAGUCAACCUAGAACGCUGGGGCAUCUCCAUCCUGGUUGGUGCCAGGGGAGAAUGUUUGCUUUCAUUUCUGGCAGAGACUGUUCAGGAUUUCACCCCUCCUAAGCUGACCUCCCAAGAUCAACUUCCUUUCGUUUGGUUUUCCGUUUUGUUUUCUUGCCCCCGUUCCAAGGACAUUUUCUUGACUCCCAUCCAUUCCUUUAAUCUGAUCUUCUAUAUUCCACUUUCAAGACACUUCCCAGGCCUGGGUCUGGAGACCAAGUGCCUUGUAAUUAAUAGUUUGUUGUGGCGUAAAUGACCUGCCUGCUUCCCCUUGCCCACCAGACCUCGGCGCUUUGUCGCCCUUCUUUCGAGCAGCUUCUAGGGCCUCGAGUCUUUCAGGAAGCCUUAUCAAUAUCUGAGAAAGAGGUGGCCAUCUUCCCUGGCUCUGGCCCAGAUAAAGUAGUGUGGCCCCUCACCCCUGCCUACCCCAGCGCGGCCAGCCCUGUCACAACGUAAAAUACCAAAAUACCGAGAGCCCUGGACCAGGAGAUAAGAGACCCGGUAUCAGGCAAAUAUUCCAGUUAGUCUCACUCACACCCGUUCCGCCUCCCUUCUGCUUUCUCACGCUCUACCACAGAGGUGAGAUAGUGAAAUUCUCAAAUUGCUAGGUUACUUUAGAGAGGCUGGUGGCCAUGUGACUCAGUCCUGGCCAACGAAAGGUGAGCAGAAAUCUCCGGGAAGGGUUUCCCUUCCUAAACAGAUAAACAUUUUCUGGAAGAGAGAACACCUUUAAUCCUUGUCUUUUUUUUUUUUUUUUUUUUCCCCUGCCUGGAAUACAGAUACUGUGCCUGGAGGUACAGCAGCCAUCUUGGGACCAUGAGGAUGAACCCCACAAGCAGUGGACAGCAGAGUAGGAGGAUAGAGGGGUCUGUGAUAACCUAAGUAGCUGCAUGAGCCCUGGAUUCUGUAUGUUUCUCUGGAUUUUUCCUACAAGAGAAAAAGAAACUCCUUACUCAAGCCACUGGUGGUUAUACGGCUGUGAUAAGCAAGAUCCUACGUAAUUGGCUCUACAACGGAGAACUGAUCCACUGAAUGGGAACGAUUCUAGAAGAGACAUAAAACCCGGUGAUGACUUAAUCCACGACAAACCAAAUAACCAAAUAGCAGAUAUAGGAAUGAUUAUUUAAUAAAUGCCGUGCGCACAAUUUAUUGGUACGGAGGCCUAACUUGGAUUUGUAACUUACGCCGGGCUCUGUCUGUGCACCCCACCUCCCACCAAAUUCUGGAUGCAUUUGCGUUAACUAUAAAAACAAAGCAAAAAUAUACCAACGGUAGCAAGCACAGAAUCAGAAGAAAAUAGGAGGGUAUUUGUAACAUACAGGUAAGAGGAUAGGUGGACUUAAUAGAAAAAUGACAAAGGGCAAAAUGCCAUUUUUUUUAAUGUUUAUUUUGGAGAGAGAGAGACAGAGACGGAGAAUGAGGGGGGGAGAGGCAGAGAGAGAGGGAGACACAGAAUCCGAAGCAGGCUCCAGGCUCUGAGCUGUCAAGCACAGAGCCCGAUGUGGGACUCGAACUCAUGAGCAGUGAGAUCAUGACCUGAGCCGAAAUCGGACGCUCAACCGACGGAGCCACCCAGGCGCCCCGGAAAAUGCCAUCUUUUGAUGUAACAAUAAAGUGUGGGUGUAUUUUGGGAGUUCUGCAUUCUUCCCCGGGGAUCUGUGCUCCUGUCCCUCCAUCAGUACCCCGCUGUCUUGAAGACUGUAGCUGUCAGUAAUCUUUCGUAUCAGGUAGAGUGAGAAUAUCGAGUCUUUAGACCGUGACCUGACUCAGUUUACCGUUCCCGCUAACGGGUCUGAUCGGUCUGAUCUCACGCCUGCCCCUGAGACCAGCUCUUCCCGUGGGAUUUACUUCCGUUCCUUCCUUUUCCGUGAAGCCUUUCUUGGUUCCCGCUGCCUCUUUUGAACCUGAAAGGUGAGGGUUCCUUCCCUCUUGAAUGCCCUGCGCUCUGUAUCUGUGUCAUUCACUUGGACUUUCACACGUAAUCCCUUCUCUGUGCUCGCCUUCUUGGUGUGGUGGAUUCCAGGUACCACCAGACGCCCAGGGUCCGGGAUGCAGUAGGUCCUUGGCGAAUGAUUCAUUGUCGGAGAGAAAGACUAAACCAGACUCCGCUCCUACUUCAGGAAGGCAUACGUGUGCGGUCGUCAGGGGGCAAAAGUACGCACGUGUCCUUUCGUUGCUGGUUUGCCAGGAGGUCCCUGACACCACAUCGGUGCAAAGCGAAGUCUUCCCGGAUCCACAGGCUGAUCCAGGCUCUCUCUGUGUGUUUCAGGUUGGUUUAUUUAUUUUGAGACCCCGAGAGAGGGUACGAGCCCGGGAGGAGCGGAGAGAGAAUCGCAAGCCGGCCCCUCGCCGUCGGCGCGGGGCUUGAACCCCGGACCGCGAGAUCGUGACCUGAGCCGAAAUCAAGAGCGGGACGCUUCACCGACUGAGCCGCCCAGAUGCCUCUCGGGGCUCUGGGCUUAAGCAGGACCUGGAGUGGUUGUAAUAAUUAUUGGUAGCACCCAGCUGCAUAACAAAUGACCCCCAAAUCCCCGUGGCUUACCACAAACCCUGAUGCCUCACCCUUGGAUGCUUGUGGCUUCUCGGCUGCAGCCUAGGGGUUGGAUCGAGGUCAGCUCCAUGCAUCUCUCAUUCCAGAGUCCCACGCGAAGCUGCAGCAGCUACCUGGAGACACGUUCUUCUCCUGGGGACGGCAGGGGUUCGGGAGGCCAGGCCCAAACGAGGAAGCGCGUUUGAAAACCUCCGACUGGAUCCUGUUGACUUCGGUUCCAUCGACCAAAGUUCUCCUCACUGCUCCUCCUGGGAACAGAGUCUGGGGGGAGCCAGUGUGUUCCAGAAGAGUCAGCACAGUCCGAGGGAGAGAUCGGCCCUCUGGCAGCAGCCAGCCGAUGAGAACCAAUUAUACACAUCUCUUCCCAACUCUGCAUCGGGUGAUGUCAAGUCGAGAGCUUGAAAUCUGACCACACUGGGAGUAUUUACACCACAGGAAUCGGCGAGCACUACAGACGGGCCUUCCCCACCCCGGGAGAGCCGGUUGUUAAAUAUUUACCAGCACAUCGCUGCUGCUGAGGGACAGGUCUGUGCCAUCAGAACCUUAGAAGUGCCUUUCUCGAGAUUUCUUGGAAAUCUCCUCCCUGCCAGGGAGGGAGGGAAGUGACCGAAUCUGUAGGAGGCCGGCCCUAUCUAGCGCUUUCUAUUGAGCGCAUGAUUGUCAUUCAUCACCUGAAAAGGUGAUAAAUCUCCCCGGUGUUGAACAGCUCCAGAAUGAAUGAAAUGGAAUUAAAUGUCCAGGCACGCACAAGCUCACGCCCGGCACGGAGCCCAACACGGGGCUUGAACUCACAACCCGGAGAUCAAGACCUGAGCUGAGAUCAGGAGUCGGACGCUUAACCGACUGAGCCGCCCAGGUGCCCGUCCUUCUGUAUUCUCAUCCAGCAGAUCUCUUUCGAGCGCCCGACUUGUGCGGGGCACCGUGCCCCCAUGACUCCCUAGGCCCCAGCGCGGGCAGCCUUGCCCAGUUGUGGCUUCUGGUCUCACCUACGUGAUCUGCGACCUGAGGGCAGGAUUUGGGUCGUCUACUCCCCGAUCCCCUGCCCUACCCUCACAAAGCCCAUCAUUAAUUCCUGCGGGAGCUGCCACCGCCCCCCCCCCCCAUCCUUUGGCAUGGUGUUGGCAAUCUCUUAAGGAGAAAAGAAUAAUUUUGUCUCCUGUCACGUAGCAAAAUCAAAGCUUUUGGCGAGCACGAAGCCUGGGAGGCCUUUACCGCCACACAUAUAAUUAGAACUUUGGGCUAAACCCAUCCCAGAGGAGCAAAACAUUACAUUUUAAGGCACAUGCUUUUGGAUUUAUUUAUUUAAAAAAAAAAAAAAAUUUUUUUUUUUUUUUCCGAAAAAGCCGUUCGUUCCCUUCCUUCCCUCGGAUGACAUCACGCCUGAACACAGCACACGGCUCUCCAUCACUUUAAAGGGGGAGCGCUUUGCAUGCUGUCUUUCCCUUCAGACCCUUACGAACCAGACCUUCCCUGGGAGCCCCGGGAUGGGCAUUUUCCCUCAGGUACAAGGAUCAUUACAAGGCAAGCAUUCUUAAACCGGGUCUGCUCCCAACACAGCAUUUCCACAUAUGGAUAUUAAUUUAUGUGAUCACUUGAAUACAAACGCUCGGCUGUCUCCAUAAGUUAUAGAAGCAAUCAUCCCAGGGAGCAUCGGAGACACCGAGAGUCAAUUCCUGUGUAAUAAUUUCAUAUUCGAGCCAGGGAUGCCAAAUCACGGCCCCUUUGGAUAAAAUGUGAGCCUGUGGAAACACUCCCCUCCCCCUUUUUAUUAUUGUGCAUUUUAUUUCUCCAUAAAAUACGUUUAUGCCCUGGAAAAACAAACCAACCCAGGGGGCCAGGCUGACAGCGUGAUGCAGGGGGUGCUCUGCCGGGAAGCUUCUGACUCAGCCACUAGCAAGCAAGGCGAUGAGGGAGUGUGUCCGCGAGCUGCUGAGAAAGCCCUCCUGGGGCCAAACCUUGAGGGGGCAGGCAGCCAAAGAUCGCCAAGCCUUGGAACAGAAAAUCACCGAGCCUUGGAAUGGAAGAAGGUCAUCUGGCCCCGCUUCCCAUCUUGGUGGGAAGCCUCUUUUUCCUUUUUUUUUUUUUUUUAUACAGCUUUAUUGAGAUAUAAUUCACAUACCAUAUAAUCCACCCACUUAGCGUGUACAUUUCAGUGAGUUUUAGUGCAUUCCCACAGAAAUGCAACCGUCACCACUUUUUAUCAUCCCCAAAAGAAACCCCAUCCUCAUUAGCAGUCGCUCCCCAUUUCCCUGCGACCCCUCCGCAGCCUUGGGCAACCACUCAUCUGCGUCUUGCGUGACUGGCUUCCUCCACUUAGCGUGAUGUUUCUGUUUUUCAUUGCUCUUGGGUAUAUACCUAGGAGCAGAAUUGUUGGGUCCUACGAUGACUCUGUGUUUAGCCUUAUUGAGAAACAGCCAGACAAGUUGCCGCAGUGGUUGCCCCGUUUUGUAGCCUCACCAGCGGUGUGUGUGACUUCCGUUCCCCCCACUUUUUUGGAUUUGAUAAAUUGUGGUCAAAUACAUGUGACAUAAAAC